rnacentral:rRNA from 1 species
UACAUGUGGGGCAAGCGUUGUUCGGAAUUACUGGGCAUAAAGGGUGCGUAGGUGGCUUGUUAAGUCAGGGGUGAAAGUUUUCGGCCCAACCGGAAAAUGGCCUUUGAUACUGGCGAGCUCGAGUGCGUGAGGGGUAACCGGAACGAGCAGUGUAGCGGUGAAAUGCGUAGAUAUUGCUCGGAAGGCCAACGGCGAAGGCAGGUUACUGGUACGCAACUGACACUGAGGCGCGAAAGCGUGGGGAGCAAACAGG